GAAAAUUGUCAAUUCUGUAAGUCAAUAACAGUAGUGGAGAAAAAAAGUUUGAUUCUUUCUGAAGAAUCUGAAACCCCUUUUGUUUCUUGAUGAUGGAGCGUUAUGAGAUAGUGAAGGAGUUGGGUUCUGGUAAUUUUGGAGUAGCAAAGCUUGUUUGUGAUAAGAACACUAAAGAACUCUUUGCUGUUAAGUUUAUUGAAAGAGGCCAAAAGAUAGAUGAACAUGUGCAAAGGGAAAUUAUGAAUCAUAGAUCAUUGAAACAUCCAAAUAUAGUGAGGUUUAAAGAGGUCUUGCUUAUACCUA
rnacentral:misc_RNA from 1 species